GAAUUCAGUCAUUCUUAAAGUUUGAUUUGUGAUUUUGUCUUUUCUGAUAGAUUUUGUAAUUUUAUAUCCAGGAUCUUCAGGAGAAUUAAGCGAAACCCAAACUCCUUGUUCUCAACGAACACCUGGCGAACAACAUGAGUCUGCUCCCUCAAGAAGAAGAUGUAGUCCUGCUGCCAGUACUCCUCUCUGCUCCACCUUAUUAAUUCGGGAGAAGUUUCAGACCCAUCAACCUGGAAGUUCACAAGGCUUCAUUGAUAUCCAGCCUACUUUUUGUAUGGCCAAGAAGAGGAAUGAGCGGCCAUUUUCUCAACAACAUGGAUUUUAAGACAGACAAGAUGAUGUAGCCCUGGAGCUGCUGCCAGUACUCCGCCCUACUUACAUAUUUGGGAGAAGAGUUUCAGACCCAUCAACCUGGACGUUCAGAAGGUUUCAUUGAUAUCCAGCCUGUUGGGACAAACCUGGUGGCACACCUAUAAAAUGUGACAACAUGUAACCCAUAUGUCCUCAUGCAGGGAGACAGGCAAAAAUGCUAAAGUUUCGUUAAAAAUGCUCCUUGUUUAAUGGCUGAAAGUUUUACUUGCAGUUUGCUUUAAAACAUACUUUUUACAUGGAAUGUUUUCUAAUAUGUAGUAACAGAUACUUCUGGAGUUAUAGCCAAAUGAGUUGAAGUGAUUUAACUAUACACUUUUGAAACAACUUAUGUUUUGUAACUUUUGUAAAUGAAAUCUGCUGGCUCUAUAUAUGUAUCAUGUGGAAA